rnacentral:rRNA from 1 species
CCUACGGGUGGCAGCAGUGAGGAAUAUUGGUCAAUCGCCGGAAGGCUGAACCAGCCAUGCCGCGUGAAGGUCAGUGCCCUAUGGGCGUUAAACUUCUUUUGUGCGGGAGAAAUAAUGGUCACGUGUGGCCAGACGAGAGUACCGUACGAAUAAGCAUCGGCUAACUCCGUGCCCGCAGCCGCGGUUAUAGGGGGGAUGAAAGCGUUAUCCGGAUUUUUUUGGUUUUAAGGGUGCGUAGGCUGUGAGGUAAGUCAGCGGUGAAAUGCUCACGCUCAACGGCGUGAAGUGACAUUGAUACUGCCUUGCUGGAAUGCGGAUGCCGUGGGAGGAAUGUGUGGUGUAGCGGUGAAAUGCAUAGAUAUCACACAGAACACCGAUGGCGAAGGCAUCUCACGAAUCCGCGAUUGACGCUGAUGCACGAAAGCGUGGGUAUCAAACAGGAUUAGAUACCCCUGUAGUC